rnacentral:rRNA from 2 species
AAAUUGAAGAGUUUGAUCAUGGCUCAGAUUGAACGCUGGCGGCAGGCCUAACACAUGCAAGUCGAGCGGUAGCACAGAGAGCUUGCUCUCGGGUGACGAGCGGCGGACGGGUGAGUAAUGUCUGGGAAACUGCCUGAUGGAGGGGGAUAACUACUGGAAACGGUAGCUAAUACCGCAUAACGUCGCAAGACCAAAGUGGGGGACCUUCGGGCCUCAUGCCAUCAGAUGUGCCCAGAUGGGAUUAGCUAGUAGGUGGGGUAACGGCUCACCUAGGCGACGAUCCCUAGCUGGUCUGAGAGGAUGACCAGCCACACUGGAACUGAGACACGGUCCAGACUCCUACGGGAGGCAGCAGUGGGGAAUAUUGCACAAUGGGCGCAAGCCUGAUGCAGCCAUGCCGCGUGUGUGAAGAAGGCCUUCGGGUUGUAAAGCACUUUCAGCGGGGAGGAAGGCGAUAAGGUUAAUAACCUUGUCGAUUGACGUUACCCGCAGAAGAAGCACCGGCUAACUCCGUGCCAGCAGCCGCGGUAAUACGGAGGGUGCAAGCGUUAAUCGGAAUUACUGGGCGUAAAGCGCACGCAGGCGGUCUGUCAAGUCGGAUGUGAAAUCCCCGGGCUUAACCUGGGAACUGCAUUCGAAACUGGCAGGCUAGAGUCUUGUAGAGGGGGGUAGAAUUCCAGGUGUAGCGGUGAAAUGCGUAGAGAUCUGGAGGAAUACCGGUGGCGAAGGCGGCCCCCUGGACAAAGACUGACGCUCAGGUGCGAAAGCGUGGGGAGCAAACAGGAUUAGAUACCCUGGUAGUCCACGCCGUAAACGAUGUCGAUUUGGAGGUUGUGCCCUUGAGGCGUGGCUUCCGGAGCUAACGCGUUAAAUCGACCGCCUGGGGAGUACGGCCGCAAGGUUAAAACUCAAAUGAAUUGACGGGGGCCCGCACAAGCGGUGGAGCAUGUGGUUUAAUUCGAUGCAACGCGAAGAACCUUACCUGGUCUUGACAUCCACAGAACUUUCCAGAGAUGGAUUGGUGCCUUCGGGAACUGUGAGACAGGUGCUGCAUGGCUGUCGUCAGCUCGUGUUGUGAAAUGUUGGGUUAAGUCCCGCAACGAGCGCAACCCUUAUCCUUUGUUGCCAGCGGUUCGGCCGGGAACUCAAAGGAGACUGCCAGUGAUAAACUGGAGGAAGGUGGGGAUGACGUCAAGUCAUCAUGGCCCUUACGACCAGGGCUACACACGUGCUACAAUGGCAUAUACAAAGAGAAGCGACCUCGCGAGAGCAAGCGGACCUCAUAAAGUAUGUCGUAGUCCGGAUUGGAGUCUGCAACUCGACUCCAUGAAGUCGGAAUCGCUAGUAAUCGUAGAUCAGAAUGCUACGGUGAAUACGUUCCCGGGCCUUGUACACACCGCCCGUCACACCAUGGGAGUGGGUUGCAAAAGAAGUAGGUAGCUUAACCUUCGGGAGGGCGCUUACCACUUUGUGAUUCAUGACUGGGGUGAAGUCGUAACAAGGUAACCGUAGGGGAACCUGCGGUUGGAUCACCUCCUUACCUUAAAGAA